AAAUUGAAGAGUUUGAUCAUGGCUCAGAUUGAACGCUGGCGGCAGGCCUAACACAUGCAAGUCGAACGGUAGCACAGAGAGCUUGCUCUCGGGUGACGAGUGGCGGACGGGUGAGUAAUGUCUGGGAAACUGCCUGAUGGAGGGGGAUAACUACUGGAAACGGUGGCUAAUACCGCAUAACGUCGCAAGACCAAAGAGGGGGACCUUCGGGCCUCUUGCCAUCAGAUGUGCCCAGAUGGGAUUAGCUUGUUGGUGAGGUAACGGCUCACCAAGGCGACGAUCCCUAGCUGGUCUGAGAGGAUGACCAGCCACACUGGAACUGAGACACGGUCCAGACUCCUACGGGAGGCAGCAGUGGGGAAUAUUGCACAAUGGGCGCAAGCCUGAUGCAGCC
rnacentral:rRNA from 2 species